UAUAUCUCCAUGGAUGUGCUCCUAAUGGUGAAGCUCGAUCAUCUCCACUUGAUUCCGGGCUGUAAGUUGCCAUCCAUUUAUUAGCAUGUCCACUACUGCGAUUCGCGGUAGUUUUUGGGCUUGGGCUUCUUGAGGCUUGAUAGAUUGCUGUUGUACUUGCCCCUGAACUUGAUUCAAGCCCCAAACCAUAGUGUGGCCCCUUCCUUUUCGAUACAUUCCAUUGAGCCGAUGGUGGGCUGCGAUGCUUAACAAGGCCUUGAUUCCUCACCUUCGCUUUUGUAGACUUAGUUGGGGUCAUGUAACUAGGGACAUUAUCAAAUUUUGAGUGAACAACCUUCCGGGCUGAGUAUGGGCUUGUUUCAGCUUGAUCAAAAGUGUGAUGGGCUGAGUUGAUGGUCUCCGAGUCCAAUGGCCCGGUGAUUAGGUCCAUUUCAACUGUCUUUUCAGACAUGUCACUUGUUGUGGAAGGUGUCACAUAGGAGCUGUCUCUUGGCACAAUGUGUCUUGAGUAUUGGUAUGGUUGCGAAGCCAUCCAUCGCUCCAGCCAACUCCAUCCCCAUUGUGACUUUUCGCGCUCAUUUCCAAAAUAUUCAGCGUCCUCACCAUGUGGAUCAAUGUGCAAUAGUUGUUGUUGCUUUUGCUGAUAGGCAUAGGCAUAAGCAAGAGCUCUUUCCCUUUUCAUUUCUGCAUCGAAUUUUCUCCUACUGCUUUCUUGGAUCUUAUCCAUGCUUUGGUUCCUGUUAUCCCAACAUUCUGUCCCUGACUUCUUAAUGGGGCUGGUGUGUUUGUGUUGUUGUUCUUCAGCAGCGUGUCUUCGUGCCUCUUCUAGCUUGCUCUCGAGCCUUUCCUGGACUAACUGGAGCCUCCUUGCUCGUACUCUGCCUUGUACACGUACCAAUGCUUGCAUACAUCUCAUGGUCAUUUGUGCUUGUUUUCGCACAUUAUGUCCUCUCACUAGUGCUUGCAGCCUCACCAAUCCUUUCAGAGCACGCAAAGCACGUCUUGCCAGAUAUCCCCUGUAGUAUGACUGAAUAAGCGUGGCAGCCCUUUCCUCUGUUGACUGCACGCGGCCAUAGCCACCAGCUAAUCUGACGACUUUAGCAGCCGCGUGAGCAGCUGCAACAGCUGCCUCAGCGGCUGCAGCCGUGGCAGCUGCAACAGCAAUGGCAUGGUUAUGAUCCUCAGCCACAGUAGACGAUGAAUCAACGUUACUCCCUCCAUUACUUAUAAAAUCUGGAGAACUCCCUACUGGAAAAUGUUCAAGUGACACCACUUCAGGAGGUUCAGGUUGCUGCCAUUUACUGUCUAAUGUUUCCUUCUUCUUAUCAGGUGAAUCUUUAGGAGACUGUUUAAAAACUUUCUUAACAGAUGAAAACCAACCACUUCCUUUCUUGCCCAUAUUUCAGCCAAAAGAAUUGACCUUUCUGUCACAAAAAACACACAUAGAUUCAACAGAUCAUAAGCAUCAAGACGACAACAAAAG
rnacentral:misc_RNA from 1 species